rnacentral:rRNA from 1 species
CCCGCCGGCGACCGGCGCACGGGUGAGUAACACGUAUGAAACCUGCCCGUAGCAGGGGGAUAAGCGGAAGAAAUUCCGUCUAAUACCGCGUAACAACCCAUGGGGGCAUCUCUGUGGGUUUAAAGGAAGCGAUUCCGGCUACGGAUGGUCAUGCGUCGCAUUAGCUUGUUGGCGGGGUAACGGCCCACCAAGGCGACGAUGCGUAGGGGUUCUGAGAGGAAGGUCCCCCACACUGGUACUGAGACACGGACCAGACUCCUACGGAAGGCAGCAG